GAGAUUUAUUUAUUCGAGAAGGUAAACCACCAGGACUAUCAUAUUUCAGUUCUUAAAAAUACAUUCAUAUUUAACAUUUCUGACAUUCAGUCAUGGAUUUGUAUUUCCCUUUCUCUAGGCCAAUUAAAUAGUUUAUUAUUUAGAUGUUUUAGUACUCAAGGUUUUGGCUUGGAUGCUGCGGCAGGUUAUCAGUUUGACUACGUUUU
rnacentral:misc_RNA from 1 species